AUUGAACGCUGGCGGCAGGCCUAACACAUGCAAGUCGAGCGGAUGAGGGUAGCUUGCUACCUGAUUCAGCGGCGGACGGGUGAGUAAUGCCUAGGAAUCUGCCUGGUAGUGGGGGACAACGUUUCGAAAGGAACGCUAAUACCGCAUACGUCCUACGGGAGAAAGUGGGGGAUCUUCGGACCUCACGCUAUCAGAUGAGCCUAGGUCGGAUUAGCUAGUUGGUGGGGUAAAGGCUCACCAAGGCGACGAUCCGUAACUGGUCUGAGAGGAUGAUCAGUCACACUGGAACUGAGACACGGUCCAGACUCCUACGGGAGGCAGCAGUGGGGAAUAUUGGACAAUGGGCGCAAGCCUGAUCCAGCCAUGCCGCGUGUGUGAAGAAGGUCUUCGGAUUGUAAAGCACUUUAAGUUGGGAGGAAGGGCAGUAAGUUAAUACCUUGCUGUUUUGACGUUACCGACAGAAUAAGCACCGGCUAACUCUGUGCCAGC
rnacentral:rRNA from 1 species